GAUGAACGCUGGCGGCGUGCCUAAUACAUGCAAGUCGAGCGAACAGACGAGGAGCUUGCUCCUCUGACGUUAGCGGCGGACGGGUGAGUAACACGUGGAUAACCUACCUAUAAGACUAGGAUAACUUCGGGAAACCGGAGCUAAUACCGGAUAAUAUAUUGAACCGCAUGGUUCAAUAGUGAAAGACGGUUUUGCUGUCACUUAUAGAUGGAUCCGCGCCGCAUUAGCUAGUUGGUAAGGUAACGGCUUACCAAGGCGACGAUGCGUAGCCGACCUGAGAGGGUGAUCGGCCACACUGGAACUGAGACACGGUCCAGACUCCUACGGGAGGCAGCAGUAGGGAAUCUUCCGCAAUGGGCGAAAGCCUGACGGAGCAACGCCGCGUGAGUGAUGAAGGUCUUCGGAUCGUAGAACUCUGUUAUUAGGGAAGAACAAAUGUGUAAGUAACUAUGCACGUCUUGACGGUACCUAAUCAGAAAGCCACGGCUAACUACGUG
rnacentral:rRNA from 1 species